rnacentral:rRNA from 1 species
AGAGUUUGAUCCUGGCUCAGGACGAACGCUGGCGGCGUGCCUAAUACAUGCAAGUCGAGCGAAUCAAUGGGAGCUUGCUCCCUGAGAUUAGCGGCGGACGGGUGAGUAACACGUGGGUAACCUGCCUGUAAGAUUGGGAUAACUCCGGGAAACCGGAGCUAAUACCGGAUAACAUUUUGAACCGCAUGGUUCAAAAUUGAAAGAUGGUUUCGGCUAUCACUUACAGAUGGACCCGCGGCGCAUUAGCUAGUUGGUGAGGUAACGGCUCACCAAGGCAACGAUGCGUAGCCGACCUGAGAGGGUGAUCGGCCACACUGGGACUGAGACACGGCCCAGACUCCUACGGGAGGCAGCAGUAGGGAAUCUUCCGCAAUGGACGAAAGUCUGACGGAGCAACGCCGCGUGAGUGAGGAGGGUUUUCGGAUCGUAAAGCUCUGUUGUUCGUGAAGAACACUGUUGUGAGGAAAUGCACAAGAGAUGACGGUAGCGAACCAGAAAGCCCCGGCUAACUACGUGCCAGCAGCCGCGGUAAUACGUAGGGGGCAAGCGUUGUCCGGAAUGAUUGGGCGUAAAGCGCGCGCAGGCGGCUUCUUAAGUCUGAUGUGAAAGCCCACGGGCUCAACCGUGGAGGGUCAUUGGAAACUGGGGAGCUUGAGUACAGAAGAGGAGAGUGGAAUUCCACGUGUAGCGGUGAAAUGCGUAGAGAUGUGGAGGAACACCAGUGGCGAAGGCGGCUCUCUGGUCUGAGACUGACGCUGAGGCGCGAAAGCGUGGGGAGCAAACAGGAUUAGAUACCCUGGUAGUCCACGCCGUAAACGAUGAGUGCUAGGUGUUAGGGGGGACCACCCCUUAGUGCUGAAGUUAACACAUUAAGCACUCCGCCUGGGGAGUACGACCGCAAGGUUGAAACUCAAAGGAAUUGACGGGGGCCCGCACAAGCGGCGGAGCAUGCGGAUUAAUUCGAUGCAACGCGAAGAACCUUACCAAGGCUUGACAUUCACCGGAUCGCUCCAGAGAUGGGGUUUCCCUUCGGGGUCGGUGGACAGGUGGUGCAUGGUUGUCGUCAGCUCGUGUCGUGAGAUGUUGGGUUAAGUCCCGCAACGAGCGCAACCCUCGUUCUAUGUUGCCAGCACGUGAUGGUGGGGACCCAUAGGAGACUGCCGGGGUCAACUCGGAGGAAGGUGGGGAUGACGUCAAAUCAUCAUGCCCCUUAUGUCUUGGGCUUCACGCAUGCUACAAUGGCCGGUACAAAGGGUUGCGAUACUGUGAGGUGGAGCUAAUCCCAAAAAGCCGGUCUCAGUUCGGAUUGAGGUCUGCAACUCGACCUCAUGAAGUCGGAGUCGCUAGUAAUCGCAGAUCAGCAACGCUGCGGUGAAUACGUUCCCGGGCCUUGUACACACCGCCCGUCAAGUCACGAAAGUUGGUAACACCCGAAGCCGGUGGCCUAACCCCUUUGUGGGAGGGAGCCGUCGAAGGUGGGACUGGCGAUUGGGACUAAGUCGUAACAAGGUAACCGUA